rnacentral:rRNA from 1 species
UACAGAGGGGCAAGCGUUGUUCGGAAUUACUGGGCGUAAAGGGCGCGUAGGCGGCCUUCUAAGUCGAACGUGAAAUCCCUGGGCUCAACCCAGGAACUGCGUCCGAUACUGGAAGGCUUGAAUCCGGGAGAGGGAUGCGGAAUUCCAGGUGUAGCGGUGAAAUGCGUAGAUAUCUGGAGGAACACCGGUGGCGAAGGCGGCAUCCUGGACCGGCAUUGACGCUGAGGCGCGAAAGCCAGGGGAGCAAAGCGGG